ACGACGCUGGCGGCGUGCCUAACACAUGCAAGUCGAGCGAUGAAGUUCUUCGGAACGGAUUAGCGGCGGACGGGUGAGUAACACGUGGGUAACCUGCCUUGUAGAGGGGGAUAGCCUUCCGAAAGGAAGAUUAAUACCGCAUAACAUCUUUUUAUCGCAUGGUAGAAAGAUCAAAGGAGCAAUCCGCUACAAGAUGGACCCGCGGCGCAUUAGCUAGUUGGUGAGGUAACGGCUCACCAAGGCGACGAUGCGUAGCCGACCUGAGAGGGUGAUCGGCCACAUUGGAACUGAGACACGGUCCAGACUCCUACGGGAGGCAGCAGUGGGGAAUAUUGCGCAAUUGGGGGGAAACCCUGAACGCAGCAACGCCGCGUGAAUGAAGAAGGCCUUAGGGUUGUAAAGUUCUGUUUACGGGGACGAUAAUGACGGUACCCGUGGAGGAAGCCACGGCUAACUACGUGCCAGCCGCCGC
rnacentral:rRNA from 1 species